rnacentral:rRNA from 1 species
AUACGGAGGGUGCAAGCGUUGUUCGGAAUCACUGGGCGUAAAGGGCGCGCAGGCGGUUUGGUAAGUCAGAUGUGAAAGCCCACGGCUCAACCGUGGAAGUGCAUUUGAAACUGCCAGACUUGAGUACCAGAGGGGAAAGUGGAAUUCCCGGUGUAGAGGUGAAAUUCGUAGAUAUCAGGAGGAAUACCGGUGGCGAAGGCGACUUUCUGGCUGGAUACUGACGCUCAGGCGCGAAAGCAUGGGGAGCAAACAGGAUUAGAAACCCUAGUAGUCC